rnacentral:rRNA from 1 species
GGUGACAAACCGGAGGAAGGUGGGGAUGACGUCAAAUCAUCAUGCCCCUUAUGACCUGGGCUACACACGUGCUACAAUGGACAGAACAAAGGGCAGCGAAACCGCGAGGUUAAGCCAAUCCCACAAAUCUGUUCUCAGUUCGGAUCGCAGUCUGCAACUCGACUGCGUGAAGCUGGAAUCGCUAGUAAUCGCGGAUCAGCAUGCCGCGGUGAAUACGUUCCCGGGCCUUGUACACACCGCC